rnacentral:rRNA from 11 species
UUUGCUGAGGGAAGUAUAGCCCUCCGCGAUCGUAAGACGAAUGAAUUAGAACGAUGCAGCCCUGCACGUCUUGAAUACAUCGGACCGAGAAGUGCCCGCGUGUGGCUAGCAGAAGGGCGCUAUCAUCAGCUGCGAAGGAUGUUCGCGGCGUUAGGCAACGAGGUUAUCGGGA